GACGAACGCUGGCGGCGUGCCUAAUACAUGCAAGUCGAGCGAAGUUUUUCUGGUGCUUGCACUAGAAAAACUUAGCGGCGAACGGGUGAGUAACACGUAAAGAACCUGCCUCAUAGACUGGGACAACUAUUGGAAACGAUAGCUAAUACCGGAUAACAGCAUUAACUGCAUGGUUGAUGUUUAAAAGUUGGUUUUGCUAACACUAUGAGAUGGCUUUGCGGUGCAUUAGCUAGUUGGUGGGGUAAAGGCCUACCAAGGCGACGAUGCAUAGCCGACCUGAGAGGGUGAUCGGCCACACUGGGACUGAGACACGGCCCAGACUCCUACGGGAGGCAGCAGUAGGGAAUCUUCCGCAAUGGGCGAAAGCCUGACGGAGCAACGCCGCGUAAGUGAAGAAGGAUUUCGGUUCGUAAAGCUCUGUUGUUAGGGAAGAAUGAUUGUGUAGUAACUAUACACAGUAGAGACG
rnacentral:rRNA from 1 species